UACAGAGGUGGCAAGCGUUGUUCGGAAUUACUGGGCGUAAAGGGCGCGUAGGCGGCCAUCUAAGUCAGACGUGAAAUCCCCCGGCUUAACCUGGGAACUGCGUCUGAUACUGGACGGCUUGAGUAUGGGAGAGGGAUGUAGAAUUCCAGGUGUAGCGGUGAAAUGCGUAGAUAUCUGGAGGAACAUCGGUGGCGAAGGCGGCAUCCUGGACCGGUACUGACGCUGAGGCGCGAAAGCCAGGGGAGCAAACGGG
rnacentral:rRNA from 1 species